UACGUAGGGUGCAAGCGUUAAUCGGAAUUACUGGGCGUAAAGCGUGCGCAGGCGGUUAUAUAAGACAGUUGUGAAAUCCCCCGGGCUCAACCUGGGAAGCUGCAUCUGUGACUGUAUAGCUAGAGUACGGUAGAGGGGGAUGGAAUUCCGCGUGUAGCAGUGAAAUGCGUAGAUAUGCGGAGGAACACCGAUGGCGAAGGCAAUCCCCUGGACCUGUACUGACGCUCAUGCACGAAAGCGUGGGGAGCAAACAGG
rnacentral:rRNA from 1 species